rnacentral:rRNA from 1 species
CCUACGGGAGGCAGCAGUGAGGAAUAUUGGUCAAUGGGCGGGAGCCUGAACCAGCCAAGUCGCGUGAAGGAUGACGGCACUACGGGUUGUAAACUUCUUUUGUCAGGGAGCAAUUGGGUCCACGCGUGGGCGUAGCGAGAGUACCUGAAGAAAAAGCAUCGGCUAACUCCGUGCCAGCAGCCGCGGUAAUCCGGAGGAUGCGAGCGUUAUCCGGAUUUAUUGGGUUUAAGGGUUGCGUAGGUGGAAUAUUAAGUCAGCGGUAAAACUUCGGGGCUCAACCCCGUCGUGCCGUUGAAACUGGUGUUCUUGAGUGGGCGAGAAGUAUGCGGAAUGCGUGGUGUAGCGGUGAAAUGCUUAGAUAUCACGCAGAACCCCGAUUGCGAAGGCAGCCUGCCAAGCCAUGACUGACGCUGAUGCACGAAAGCGUGGGGAUCAAACAGGAUUAGAUACCCUGGUAGUC